CAGCACCAGCUUUGUUCUCCUGUUUAAUGGUGUGGAGACAUUCAUCAGUGCAUCAGUUGCAGAUGGACCAGUGACCUACACCGUCUCAUCUCUCACUCCUGGAACAAGCUACACAUUCACUCUGUUCUCUGUUCUUGACAACGUCAGGAGCAGUGGAGUCAGUAUUACAGCAGCUACUGAUCCUUGUACCAGCUGUCAAUGUUGUGCUUUGGGCACCGAGUGCAUCACCACCAAUGGAGUUGUUGAAUGUCUUGACCCCUGUGUGAACUCACUGUGGUGAAUGAUGCAUGGCGUUCAACAGAGAAUACAGACAAUUCAAUCUUACACUGUGACCAAAACAUUGUCUGGAGUGGUUGGUAUCGCUUUUAUUUGGGGCAAAGCAGCGCUCAGAUACCAGAGAAAUGUGUAGCAGAACAAAGAUGUGGAACUCAUGCUCCUUUGUGGAUAAAUGGGACUCAUCCAGUCCAGCUUAAUGAAACUGUAACUCGAACUGUGUGUAGCGCUUGGUCGGGUUCCUGCUGCCUUUUUCCCACACACACCAUCCAGAUCAAACUUUGUUAUGGAUUCUACGUCUACAAACUUCAACAGCCGUCUGCAUGUUGGCUGGCAUAUUGUGCAGAACCUCAACCCUUCAGAGUAUUGACACAAAGUGAGACCAGCAUCACUCUGCAGUGGAAUAAAAUCAACAACAACACCAGCUUUGUUCUCCAGUUUAACGGCACAGAGACAAACAUCAGUGCACCAGAUGGAGAUGGACCAGUGUACUACACGGUCACAUCUCUGACUGCUGGAACCACAUAUACAUUCAUA